CGGGUACGUUAAUAGCGUAUUCGUUUGACGUUAGCGACAGAAGAAAGCACCGGCUAACUCCGUGCCAGCAGCCGCGGUAAUACGGAGGGUGCGAGCGUUAAUCGGAAUUACUGGGCGUAAAGCGCAUGCAGGUGGUUUGUUAAGUCAGAUGUGAAAGACCCGGGGCGUCAACCUCGGAAUAGCAUUUGAAACUGGCAGACUAGAGUACUGUAGAGGGGGGUAGGAAUUUCAGGUGUAGCGGUGAAAAUGCGUAGAGAUCUGAAGGAAUACCGGUGGCGAAGGCGGCCCCCUCGGACAGAUACUGACACUCAGAUGCGAAAGCGUGGGGAGCAAACAGGAUUAGAUACCCUGGUAG
rnacentral:rRNA from 1 species